GUUGGGUAGGGGAGCGUUCUGUAAGCCUGUGAAGGUGGCCUGUGAGGGUUGCUGGAGGUAUCAGAAGUGCGAAUGCUGACAUAAGUAACGAUAAAGCGGGUGAAAAGCCCGCUCGCCGGAAGACCAAGGGUUCCUGUCCAACGUUAAUCGGGGCAGGGUGAGUCGACCCCUAAGGCGAGGCCGAAAGGCGUAGUCGAUGGGAAACGGGUUAAUAUUCCCGUACUUGGUGUUACUGCGAAGGGGGGACGGAGAAGGCUAUGUUGGCCGGGCGACGGUUGUCCCGGUUUAAGCGUGUAGGUGUGUGUUCCAGGUAAAUCCGGUUCACUUUAACACUGAGGCGUGAUGACGAGGCACUACGGUGCUGAAGCAACAAAUGCCCUGCUUCCAGGAAAAGCCUCUAAGCAUCAGGUAACAUCAAAUCGUACCCCAAACCGACACAGGUGGUCAGGUAGAGAAUACCAAGGCGCUUGAGAGAACUCGGGUGAAGGAACUAGGCAAAAUGGUGCCGUAACUUCGGGAGAAGGCACGCUGACACGUAGGUGAAGUGAUUUACUCACGGAGCUGAAGUCAGUCGAAGAUACCAGCUGGCUGCAACUGUUUAUUAAAAACACAGCACUGUGCAAACACGAAAGUGGACGUAUACGGUGUGACGCCUGCCCGGUGCCGGAAGGUUAAUUGAUGGGGUCAGCGCAAGCGAAGCUCCUGAUCGAAGCCCCGGUAAACGGCGGCCGUAACUAUAACGGUCCUAAGGUAGCGAAAUUCCUUGUCGGGUAAGUUCCGACCUGCACGAAUGGCGUAAUGAUGGCCAGGCUGUCUCCACCCGAGACUCAGUGAAAUUGAACUCGCUGUGAAGAUGCAGUGUACCCGCGGCAAGACGGAAAGACCCCGUGAACCUUUACUAUAGCUUGACACUGAACAUUGAGCCUUGAUGUGUAGGAUAGGUGGGAGGCUUUGAAGUGUGGACGCCAGUCUGCAUGGAGCCGACCUUGAAAUACCACCCUUUAAUGUUUGAUGUUCUAACGUGGACCCGUGAUCCGGGUUGCGGACAGUGUCUGGUGGGUAGUUUGACUGGGGCGGUCUCCUCCUAAAGAGUAACGGAGGAGCACGAAGGUUGGCUAAUCCUGGUCGGACAUCAGGAGGUUAGUGCAAUGGCAUAAGCCAGCUUGACUGCGAGCGUGACGGCGCGAGCAGGUGCGAAAGCAGGUCAUAGUGAUCCGGUGGUUCUGAAUGGAAGGGCCAUCGCUCAACGGAUAAAAGGUACUCCGGGGAUAACAGGCUGAUACCGCCCAAGAGUUCAUAUCGACGGCGGUGUUUGGCACCUCGAUGUCGGCUCAUCACAUCCUGGGGCUGAAGUAGGUCCCAAGGGUAUGGCUGUUCGCCAUUUAAAGUGGUACGCGAGCUGGGUUUAGAACGUCGUGAGACAGUUCGGUCCCUAUCUGCCGUGGGCGCUGGAGAACUGAGGGGGGCUGCUCCUAGUACGAGAGGACCGGAGUGGACGCAUCACUGGUGUUCGGGUUGUCAUGCCAAUGGCACUGCCCGGUAGCUAAAUGCGGAAGAGAUAAGUGCUGAAAGCAUCUAAGCACGAAACUUGCCCCGAGAUGAGUUCUCCCUGAGACUUAGAGUCUCCUGAAGGAACGUUGAAGACGACGACGUUGAUAGGCCGGGUGUGUAAGCGCAGCGAUGCGUUGAGCUAACCGGUACUAAUGAACCGUGAGGCUUAACCUUACAACGCCGAAG
rnacentral:rRNA from 1 species